AAGAAACCAACAGGGAUUGCCCCAGUAACGGCGAGUGAAGCGGCAACAGCUCAAAUUUGAAAUCUGGCGCAAGCCCGAGUUGUAAUUUGCAGAGGAUGCUUCAGGGCAGCGACCGGUCUAAGUUCCUUGGAACAGGACGUCGUAGAGGGUGAGAAUCCCGUAUGCGACCGGUUGGCACCCGUCACGUAGCUCCUUCGACGAGUCGAGUUGUUUGGGAAUGCAGCUCUAAAUGGGAGGUAAAUUUCUUCUAAAGCUAAAUACCGGCCAGAGACCGAUAGCGCACAAGUAGAGUGAUCGAAAGAUGAAAAGCACUUUGGAAAGAGAGUUAAAAAGCACGUGAAAUUGUUGAAAGGGAAGCGCAUGCAACCAGACUUGUCGGCGGUGUUCCGCCGGUCUUCUGACCGGUCCACUCGCCGCCGGCAGGCCAGCAUCAUCUGGGCGCGCCGGACAAAGGCGCGGGGAAUGUAGCUCCUCGGAGUGUUAUAGCCCCGCGCACAAUACGGCGCCGCUCGGGUGAGGUCCGCGCUUCGGCUAGGAUGCUGGCGUAAUGGUUGUCUGCGGCCCGUCUUGAAACACGGACCAAGGAGUCUAACAUCUAUGCGAGUGUUCGGGUGUCAAACCCCUACGCGGAAUGAAAGUGAACGGAGGUGGGAAGCGCAAGCUGCACCAUCGACCGAUCCUGAUGUCUUCGGAUGGAUUUGAGUAAGAGCAUAGCUGUUGGGACCCGAAAGAUGGUGAACUAUGCCUGAAUAGGGUGAAGCCAGAGGAAACUCUGGUGGAGGCUCGCAGCGGUUCUGACGUGCAAAUCGAUCGUCAAAUUUGGGUAUAGGGGCGAAAGACUAAUCGAACC
rnacentral:rRNA from 1 species